rnacentral:tRNA from 2 species
GGACCGUUAGCUCAGAUGGCCAGAGCGCUCGCCUCACACGCGAGAGGUCACUGGUUCAAGUCCAGUACGGUCCACCA